rnacentral:rRNA from 1 species
ACUCAAAUGAAUAGACGGGGACCCGCACAAGCGGUGGAUGAUGUGGUUUAAUUCGAUGCAACGCGAAAAACCUUACCCACCUUUGACAUGUAUGGAAGUUUCCAGAGAUGGAUUCGUGCUCGAAAGAGAGCCAUAACACAGGUGCUGCAUGGCUGUCGUCAGCUCGUGUCGUGAGAUGUUGGGUUAAGUCCCGCAACGAGCGCAACCCUUGUCAUUAGUUGCUACAUUCAGUUGGGCACUCUAAUGAGACUGCCGGUGACAAGCCGGAGGAAGGUGGGGAUGACGUCAAGUCCUCAUGGCCCUUAUAGGUGGGGCUACACACGUCAUACAAUGGCCGGUACAAAGGGUCGCAAACCCGCGAGGGGGAGCCAAUCCAUCAAAGCCGGUCGUAGUCCGGAUCGCAGUCUGCAACUCGACUGCGUGAAGUCGGAAUCGCUAGUAAUCGUGGAUCAGCAUGUCACGGUGAAUACGUUCCCGGGUCUUGCACACACCGCCCGU